rnacentral:rRNA from 1 species
UACGAAGGGGGCUAGCGUUGUUCGGAUUUACUGGGCGUAAAGCGCACGUAGGCGGAUUGUUAAGUGAGAGGUGAAAUCCCAGAGCUCAACUCUGGAACUGCCUUUCAUACUGGCAAUCUAGAGUCCGGAAGAGGUAAGUGGAACUCCUAGUGUAGAGGUGGAAUUCGUAGAUAUUAGGAAGAACACCAGUGGCGAAGGCGGCUUACUGGUCCGGUACUGACGCUGAGGUGCGAAAGCGUGGGGAGCAAACAGG